rnacentral:rRNA from 1 species
GACGGCGGAAGCUCAUCGGAUAAAAGCUACUCCGGGGAUAACAGGCUAGUCACGCCCAAGCGUCCACAGCGACGGCGUGGUUCGGCACCUCGAUGUCGGCUCGUCGCAUCCUGGGGGUGGAGAAGCUCCCAAGGGUUGGGCUGUUCGCCCAUUAAAGCGGCACGCGAGCUGGGUUCAGACCGUCGUAAGACAGGUUGGUCUCCUAUCUACUAUGGUCGCGGAAACUUGAGAAGGACAUUCUUCAGUACGAGAGGACCGAGAAUGACGAAGCUCUAGUGUACCAACUGUCCCACCAGGGGCAUCGCUGGGUAGCUACCUUCGGUUAGGAUAAACGCUGAAAGCAUCUAAGCGUGAAGCCGUCUUCAAGAUUAGGUUUCAUAGGUUGGUCAGAGAAUAUGACCUUGAUAGGCUCUAGGUGUAAGGCCCGCAAGGGUUUGAGCCAAGGAGUACUAAUAAACCAUUUGAUUUUCCCAC